rnacentral:rRNA from 1 species
GACAGAGGGUGCAAACGUUGUUCGGAAUUACUGGGCGUAAAGCGCGUGUAGGCGGUUAUGCAAGUCGGGUGUGAAAGCCCGGAGCUCAACUCCGGAAGUGCAUUCGAUACUGCGUAGCUAGAGUACUGGAGAGGAUGGUGGAACUCUCGGUGUAGAGGUGAAAUUCGUAGAUAUCGGGAGGAACACCAGUGGCGAAGGCGGCGACCUGGGCCAAUACUGACGCUGAGGUGCGAAAGCGUGGGGAGCAAACAGG